UACAGAGGUCUCAAGCGUUGUUCGGAUUCAUUGGGCGUAAAGGGUGCGUAGGUGGCAUGGUAAGUCGGAUGUGAAAUCCCGGGGGCUCAACCCCCGGAACUGCAUUCGAUACUGCUGCGCUAGAGUACUGGAGAGGAGAUUGGAAUUUACGGUGUAGCAGUGAAAUGCGUAGAUAUCGUAAGGAAGACCAGUGGCGAAGGCGGAUCUCUGGACAGUUACUGACACUGAGGCACGAAGGCCAGGGGGAGCAAAACGGGG
rnacentral:rRNA from 1 species